UAUAUAGAGGCUGUGAUCAAGCACUAGAUAUUAGCUAUGAGCGAAAGCAGCUUGGGGUAAAUGGCCCAAGAAGGAUGCAAGAAGAGUUUCUUGCCCAUGCCCGUGGCAGCACUGUGGACGAUUCCAUAUGGAUCAAGGUGGCCAUGGACAUAGGAAACCAGCUGCAGAAGGACUAGCACUGACGAGCCCCACUCUGAUGUCAAGCUAACAAGGGCCGGGCCAACUCUGAUGACAAAGCUAACCAGGGCCAACUCCGAUGAAGUACUAACCAGGGCCAACUCCGAUGAAGGAGUUGAUGACUCUGAUGCCAGGUCCAACUCUGAUGAUGAGUGUUCUACAUGCAGGAAUUACGCACUGAGUGUGAGACAGGAACAAGGCACACUUUUGAUGGUGGUCUUUACGAGAGUGGAGUGUCGAGGGUUCAACAUCAACAGUUCUUGAAGUGUUGUUUGAGUGGUUUACUUCACACCCUGGAACCAGCAAAGAGUCACUCUCGGGUAUUCUUUACAUGCAACACCAUACUCUCCUCCCAACAGGAAAUGAGUUGCCUGAUAACUAUAGGGCGGGAUUGAAAAUUGUUACGAUCAUAAUAUUAUAUGAUGCCUGCCCAAAUGACGGCAUAACUCCAACCUGUCCUAUAUGUGGAAUGGAGCGCUUAUUCCAGUUCGAUCGUUUACUCUUGGUCCACGUUUGGAACGAUUGUUUGGGACCAGCAACCUUGCACAAAUUGUUCAUGUAUGACAUACACGAUUCUAAGGUUUGGCGUAAUGCUUAUAAGAAAACAGGCAUAUUUGGAGGUGAUUCGAGGGGUAUUAAUCUUUCCUUGUGCGUCAAUCCAUUCCGCCAUCUGGCCAAUAAUGCUAACUCUUCUGAUUUUACCCAGAAACAUUAGAACCGAGUUUUCAAAUUUUCUAGUGGGAAUAAUUCCAGGAAAUGGAAAAGGUGAAUAGCCCUUAUCUUGAAGUGCUUGCAGAUGAAAUUCUGCAAAUGUCCUGCUGUACGACGCGUACCAAAAAGCAAACUUUGAGUUAAAGGUGGAUCUACUGCUUUAUGUUCUAGACUAUCCAGGAAUUAAUAAAGUGUUGGAUAUAGAGCUGGAGCUUAUCAAGGGUGUGUAUGGUGUGAAGUACAAGGAUACUAUAGGUGACUACAACCACGACCUCUGCAAAAUGGUAUAUCUACAGAACAGACGUUACUUAACUUCAGAUAGCCCGCUUCGGAAACAGAGUGAAGUUUUCCCCGGAAAAUGUAGUGAGGAAAGGAAGCCACCUAAACUGCGUUGCUGGAGGGAAUCAGUUCAACAAUUUCAACAAUGCAAGCAAGCUGUAAAAAUAAGUUUUAAUAUGCCAUAAUUGGUAUAUAGAGAUCGUUGUUUCGUAUAAUUGCUAAAGCUACGGGCCAUAAGAGCUCAUACAGCUUCCCAAUCACAACCCUUUGGAACAAAGCGUGCCAGAUGCCAUCAAGGAUGUUAUUGAGAAUUUGUUCAAACUAAUUACUGGUAAGAAAGACAAACGUAAAAUUGAUCUUUCUGAAGAAACUCUGGGCCGGUCAAUCAGUGAUUUCUCUUUAACUAAAGUACAGUUACGUGUGGCUGAUGAGCGUAUGAGUGCAAUAUGCACACCAAUUCAUGUUGACUUCCGUAUACGCUCGUUGUUUAUAAAGCACGAUUGGAAGCCCAGUUCGCCUCUCAAGGAAUAAUAGAAGAAUUUCAAAGUGCUAGUCAACUGGAAGAGCUCAGUGAACAAGUAAACACUGCUCUAGCAUUACUUGAACGAGAUUUUCCUAUAAACCGUAUACUAUUUGUAUACUGAUUUUACA